CUUUCUUUCCUCCCACCAUACCCCCUUCUCCUACUAAUCCGACAGCCAAAUCUCUCUUUUGUUUCCACUUUCUUUUGUUUUAUGCUGUCAAAUUCCACCUAACAAAUCAGCCAAGUUCUCCUUCACUCACUUAAUCCACCAAAUUAUUUUCAUCGGCCCCAAGCUCAUUUCACCAGAAAUCAAGUAUUGAGCAAACAAGCAGAACUCAACUGCCUAGUUGUUCCACUGAAGCCCAGUUUUAACGCAGUGAAUCAAAACCAAUACCAACAAGAUCAGACAAACAAUUGAAACGAAACCUCUUAAGGUUCCCUCUUGAGUCCUUACCUUAUUUGCUAAAUUGAAAUUCAGUUUUCUUGUAUCAAUUUUUGAAACAAAAUGAUAGUUACAUACAUGAGCAUACAAUAUGUGUUUUCAUAUACAUCAAAGCAUGAUUUACAAAAGAAGAAAGAAAAGUUUGAGCUUUGUUUACAUCUGUCGAUUUUGGGCUGGAAGGUCGACGGCGGUGGCUCGGCGCCACUGUCGGUCUGGCUGGAAAGAUAGAAGGUCGGGGGCUGUGAGGCGGCUCAUCGCCGUUGCUCCGGCGAGGGUUUGAGAAGAGAGUCAGGGGAGGCCGAGCCUAGGGCUCCGGCGGGCGGCUUCUGCUGCUGCUUAUCGGAAGAAGUCCGAGAGGGAAGCCAGGCGCUGCGGCUCUGCCGUUGCUGCCUAGCUACGGUGAAGAGUGGGGAAGGAGAGGACGACGGCGGCGGUGGCUUGAUGCUCCUGCUGCCCGUCGAUCCAGAGAGAGUCGGAGUCGGCGGCGGUAGUGGCUUCUCGCUGCUAUCGCCGGAGUUCCAGAGGGAGGAUCGGAGUUUGAGAGGGAGGAGCGGUGGCGGCUGGGGCUGCUAUCGCCGGAGGUAGAACCGCGGGGGUUGAGCUUUCAGAGGGAGGCUAGAGCUCGGCGGCCUUGGCUGCUGUCUCUCGGCCACUGUCAGAGAGAGAGAGAACUGGUGGCGGCAGCUCGUCGCUGCUGCUCCUCCGGCGAGCUCCACGGUGGGCGGCUGUUACCAGCCGAAGAGAGAGGGGCCGAGGAAGGCGGCUGGUCUUUUCGGUUGAUGCGGCUGCCGGUCGACGGCUGCCUCGCCGGAAGGAUGCGCGGUGGCGGGACUGAUGGCUGAGAGAGAAGGGAGCGAGAGAUGAGGGAAGAGGGAGCCGAGAGAGGGAGAAGAGAGUGAGAUGUGAUAGUAUGUGUGUGUGUGUGCGGCUGGGGAGGAAGAAAAAGGGUGGUGGGGGUGUUGGGCUUUAGGUUUGGGUUAGGGGUUGGGCUUUAAAUUUGGGCCGGGUUUUUAAUUAGUGUUGGGCUGAAAAUUUUGUUAGAAUUUGGGCCGAGUUGGGCCGUUUUUUUUUCAUUUUUUUUUUUAUUUAUUUUUUUCAGUUGGGCUUGAGUCUUUGGGCCAAGUCAGUAAUGGGCUCAGUUUAUUUAAUUUAGUUAUGGGACGAUUUUAUGAGUACUUGGGCCGAGAUUUUUAAUUAAAUGGGCUGAGUUAUUUCUUAAUUUUGGGCCGAUUUUCUUUUAUUAAGUUGGGCCUUUGAUUAUUUUAAAUCAUGGGCUGCCCAAGUAUUUAUUUAAUUGGAUUUGUGCAUAUUUUAUUUAAAGGAGCUACACUAUUAUAAUUAAUUAGACUUAUUAAGUUUAAUUAAUUAUUUUCAAAGAGUAAAUUUUUAUAAUAAUAUUAAAUUAUUAUUAUAAGCAUAUUUUAAGUAAUUACUUAUUAUAUGCUAAGCAUGACAUGAAAUUGCAUUAUAUUUUGCAAAAAGAGUAUUUAUGAUUUAAUUGGUUUUAUUUAUAAUUCCAAUUAUUAAAGAAAGAUGAGUAAGAAUAUUGUUGGUGUUCUUAACUCAAGAGAAAUGUUUUCAAUUAUUUAUUCAUUAAAUUUUGAAAACCCGGCUAAGUGAAUCAUAGAAUAUUAAGCACUUCACCAUGACUUAAGAUUAGAAUUCAAGGAGACCUAUUAAGAAUAGAUUUCUUGUAGGCUUUGAGCAUCAGGAGGAUUAGCACUGCUAUUCCGAUUCAGAGAUAAGGUUAAACGACAGGCUUUGCCUAGACAGGCUUUGAGCAUCAGGAGGAUUAGCACUGCUAUUCCGAUUCAGAGAUAAGGUUAAACGACAGGCUUUGCCUAGACAGGUUAAUGGCUGGUGAUGACGGGGCAGAGCUGAGGCUAGGGUUCAACUCCGUAUUUUGUCUUCCGCUAUUACACUAGCUUUUAUUUGUCUUUUGUUUCUCCAACUUAAGACUUUUAUGUUAAAUUCUGAAUUGUGUUUUUAUCGAGCUUAAACUCUCAACUUCUAGCUCUAUGUUAUUUAACGUUGGUUAUCGGAAGCAUGAAACCGAACUUGUGAUCCUAAGGCUUUGAAUGUUGUUGAUUGAUUAGUAUCACUUGAUUUCUAUCUUUCUUCAUUCAAAGGGCAUUGCCCAACAUUUUUAUUCUA